UAUUAACUCUUGCGGCGUGCCUAAUACAUGCAAGUCGAGCGAACAGACGAGGAGCUUGCUCCUCUGACGUUAGCGGCGGACGGGUGAGUAACACGUGGAUAACCUACCUAUAAGACUGGGAUAACUUCGGGAAACCGGAGCUAAUACCGGAUAAUAUAUUGAACCGCAUGGUUCAAUAGUGAAAGACGGUUUUGCUGUCACUUAUAGAUGGAUCCGCGCCGCAUUAGCUAGUUGGUAAGGUAACGGCUUACCAAGGCAACGAUGCGUAGCCGACCUGAGAGGGUGAUCGGCCACACUGGAACUGAGACACGGUCCAGACUCCUACGGGAGGCAGCAGUAGGGAAUCUUCCGCAAUGGGCGAAAGCCUGACGGAGCAACGCCGCGUGAGUGAUGAAGGUCUUCGGAUCGUAAAACUCUGUUAUUAGGGAAGAACAAAUGUGUAAGUAACUAUGCACGUCUUGACGGUACCUAAUCAGAAAGCCACGGCUAACUACGUG
rnacentral:rRNA from 1 species